rnacentral:lncRNA from 1 species
AUAUCCUCCGCCACCCCCACCCCCACCUCCUUUUACUAAUGCUCCACCACCCCCACCCCCACCUCCUUUUACUAAUGCUCCACCAAGAACACCUUUAAAUAAAGCUCCACCUGCACCUCCGCCGCCUUCUUACACUAGUGCUCCAACGGCACCACCCCCACCUCCUCCACCCCCUUUUAGUACAAGUCAGUCUCCAUCGCCUCUUUUUAGUAGAGCUCCACCACCACCACCACCCCUUCCUUCAUCAAGUGGAAGACCACCUCCACCUCCACCUCCUCCAAUGUCUAGAGCCCCUCCACCUCCACCCUUUCCUGGAGCACCUCCACCACCUCCACCACCACCUCCUGGUGGUGGUCGAGGCCCACCCGCUCCCCCUCCUCCUGGCGGUCGAGGCCCACCUCNNNNNNNNNNUCCCCCCCCCCCCCCCCCACCUCCUUUUCCAUAUCCUCCGCCACCCCCACCCCCACCUCCUUUUACUAAUGCUCCACCACCCCCACCCCCACCUCCUUUUACUAAUGCUCCACCAAGAACACCUUUAAAUAAAGCUCCACCUGCACCUCCGCCGCCUUCUUACACUAGUGCUCCAACGGCACCACCCCCACCUCCUCCACCCCCUUUUAGUACAAGUCAGUCUCCAUCGCCUCUUUUUAGUAGAGCUCCACCACCACCACCACCCCUUCCUUCAUCAAGUGGAAGACCACCUCCACCUCCACCUCCUCCAAUGUCUAGAGCCCCUCCACCUCCACCCUUUCCUGGAGCACCUCCACCACCUCCACCACCACCUCCUGGUGGUGGUCGAGGCCCACCCGCUCCCCCUCCUCCUGGUGGUCGAGGCCCACCUCCUCCCCCUCCUCCUGGUGGUCGAGGCCCGCCUCCUCCCCCUCCUCCUGGUGGUCGAGGCCCGCCUCCUCCCCCUCCUCCUGGUGGUCGAGGCCCACCUCCUCCACCUUUUCCUGGGGCUCCUCCUCCUCCUGGUGGUGCACCUCCACCACCUCCACCCUUGGGUUCUAAAGGGGCAAAUGUUGGAGUUGAUCCA